AAAGGAGCCCCAGCUAUCUUGGGCUGGGCAGGGCGGGUAAGUUGAUGUGGGGGUCCGGUCCGCUCGGGGCUCUUGGGAAUAGGCUGUAUGGCACGGUAGUGCUCCAAGCGGAAGCAAGCGGUUUUCGGGGAGCCCAGGCGUCGAAGAGAAUCACGGAGUCGGGGAAGGGGGGGGGGCGCGCCUGAUGUCCGGGGCCCUUAGGUAGCCGCUUUCCCGCUGCCCUCGGGUGCAGUUUCAGGGCUAGCAUUCGCGUUCCUCUCUGGUCCCUCGAGAGGAUCCAGGGGGGAAUUGGGGUGAGAGCACGUAGGAACUACGCUUUCGACCGCUCCUCCCGCCCCUCCCCCCAAAACCAAUCUUGUCUUGGAAUGCACUUCUUGAGGCUUCCGGAUGGGAUUCUGGAGGAAUGGGUCUUUCGUUAAGUGUAAGGUGAUCAUUGAUGUUGGUUGUUUUCGCUACUCUUAUACCCAGAGAAGUUAUCUCCACAACGCCUAGAACCGUACCUGACACAUAGUUGGCCCCAACUCAGAUGUUAAUGUAGAAUGUGCAGAAUCUCAGGAUUUGUGCUUCAGGGAUCGGGUUGGCAUUGACUGAUUCUUCCCUGGUCUUUCCCAUUCUCCGCAGCUAUAGCUCCAAACCUCUACCCUUCCUCAGUGCCCCUCCCCCAUCUCACUCAGCGCUUCUUUGAUUGGAGGACAGAGACCAGAGCAAAAAUUUCCCCACCCCCACCCCAAUUAUCUUCUAGCAUUUCUUCCCAUUUCACAAGAGGUGGCUCCCUUUCAAAGAAAAAAAUAUAUACUUUUCUCACGAAUAUUCUUGAUUUUGUUAUUUGGCUUUAAAGACAGUGGGAAUCUAAUCCCAAAUAUUCCAUUUAACACCUGUUUGACCUUGGGGCAAGUUUCUUAAUCAUUUGUUAUAUGUUUCCUCAACUGUGAAACGGGAAAAAGAAUAGUAUAUACUGGGAAGAUUUAAAAUAAUGUAUUUGGAACAUUUAAGGCCCUGGCACGUAGUGUUCAGUAUAUGUAGUGUUUGUUAUUUUCUCUUUACAUUUUCUUUGGGGAUCUUGGUGUAUUAGAUUUAACCUUUCCCAGGAACCUUAAAAGACACUCUCCUCCUCCCCUGGUUUUUUCCUGUUUUCCUCUAUAAAUGCUUAACUUCAUUCCUUCAAUUUUUUUUUUUUUAAGGAAAAUUUCCUUUAGACUGUCUUUAAGACAUUGUCCUAUCACAAAAGGCUAGGUAAUCCUCCUUUCAUGUGCUUUGUUCCUAAAAUGAUUAUGAGUGAGCUUUCAACUCUUUUCUUUGAUCAUCAUGGUUUUAAACAUGUAAACCUUUGCCUUUACACUGUUUAGGUGCAACACUCCUCUGUCAGUAGUCCCUCUAAUUAUAUAUUGAGGUCCUCAUUUAGGGGAAAGUGAGAGCAAAUGUGAAUAAAACCCCUCUUUCCAAGAGAUUCUGAUACAUAAUCCUUCCUCUUUUCCCUCCUCCCUUCUAUUUUAGGAGAAUCACUAGCCUUUGUGAUUUCAAGACAGUAAUCUCAACUCUCAAUUCUACCAAUUAUGUUUUGUCUUUUGUGCUACAUACUCCUGUUUCCUGUUGUCUAUUAGACAUCUUCACCUGGGUGUCAUACAGAUAACUUAUGUCUUCUUUGGUUCUCUAUUUCAGUUAAAAGCAUGACUACCUUGUUACCAAAGCUAGGAACUUUGGAGUUAUUGUUAAUAAAUUGGGGAUUUCAGUAAUUCAACAAAUAUAAUUUUUUAUUACCUACUAACUUGCAAGGCCCUGUCCUGAGAGCUGGUGAUACAGUGGUGAACAGAACAGAGUCAGUCCUGGUCUUCAUGGAUCUUACAUUCCAGUGGGUGAGAUGGACAUUUCUGUAGGAAUCGCACAAAAAUGUAAUUAUAAACUGAAAAGAGGCCGUAUCGAGAAAGGACACAGUGGUAUAAGAGUUUGUAACAGAGGGCCUGACAUAGUGGAGAGAGAGAGUAGCCAGGGAAGGCUCAAACAUUACUUAAGACAAAAUACCAGCGAGGAGUUGAGUGAUGGUAGAGCAUUGAGGAAAGAGCAUUCCCUGCAGAGGCCCUGUGGUGGGAGGGAACAAUUGGCAUGGCCGAAGAGCUGAAAGAAGGUCAGUAUGAUCAAGAGUAAAGACUGCCUGCUGGGAAAUGGGGAAGAAGGAUACAGACUAUCUCUGGAAUUGUGGGCAGAGGCCAGGUCUCCCUAGACUUUGCAAGCAGAGUUGUGAAAAAAUUUUUAAAUCUAAAAUCAGCAGGAAGCACUGAAUGGUUUUAAGUAGAGGCGGGAACAUGAUCAAAUUUGCAUUUUGAAAAGAUAACUCAGGCUCUGGUUUUGAAGUGGUCAAGAUUGAACAUUCGAAUACACUUUCCAUUAAAUCUUUGAUUCUGUCACAAAUCUCAGAUCUGCUUCUUAUUUCCACUACUGAUGACUUCGUCACCCCUCAUUGUCUCCUGCACUGUUUUAAUAGUCUUUAUCUUUUGGUACUAAUAUUUUCAAUACUUUUCUUGCUAGAGUUAAAUUCCUGGAAUGCAGAUUUGAUCGUGAUAUUCUCUUGCUUUAAAAACCUUCAGUGGUUUCUCUCAUUCUCUACUGGAUGAAGUCCAAGUAUCUUAAUCGUGUAAUAUAUCACCUGACUUCUAAAACCUCAUUUCUCUCUUGCCAUUUGCAACUCUGUGGAUGGAACUAGAGGGUAUUAUGCUAAGUGAAAUUAGUCAGAGAAAGACAAAUAUACGACUUCACUCAUAUGAGGACUUUAAGAUACAAAACAGAUGAACAUAAGGGAAGGGAAGCAAGAAUAAUAUAAAAACAGGGAGGGAGACAAAACAUAAGAGACUGUUUUUAUUAUUUUUUAAUGUUUAUUUAUUAUUGAGAGACAGAGACAGACAGAGUGAGCAGGGGAGGGGCAGAGAGAGAGAGGGAGACACAAUCUGAAGCAGGCUCCAGGCCCCAGCCGUCAGCACAGAGCCUGAUGUGGGUCUUGAACCCAUGAACUGUGAGAUCAUGACCUGAGCCAAAGUCGAUGCUUAUUCUUAACUGACUGAGCCACUCAGGUGCCCCUAAGAGACUCUUAAAUAUGGUGAACAAACAAAGGGUUGCUGGAGGGGUUGUGGGAGGGGGGAUGGGAUAAAUGGGUAAGGGGCGUUAAUGAAUCUACUCCUGAAAUCACUGUUACAUUAUAUGCUAACUUGGAUGUAAAUAAAAAAAUAAAUUAUUAAACCCCUCAUUUCUCAAAUUCUAAUCUGUAGGUAUUCACACCCAUACUUCCUUGUGAGCUCAUAGAUGUAGUGGGGAGAUGGUAUAGGAAUUGUGUUUGCAAACGGGAACCCAGUUUCACUGAACCUUGGGAUUUUGGAAACCUUGGGAUAGUGAAUGAUGGAGCUAGAAAGGUAGGCAUUAGUGUGUAUCAUGGUAAGGCAUUUGGGCUUUAUUCAGUAGACAUUGGGAAGUAAUGGAAAGUUUUUGAGCAAGAAGUGAUAAUGAGCAGGAUUGCUUCUGAAAAACGAAUCCAGCAAUUGUGUGUGGCAUAUAUUUGGAGAGAGGAGAUAAUUAGAUAGGUAUAGUGGAGCCUGAAAUAAAAUUCAGAAGGAAAGAACGAGGAUAAAUGGGAGAAACAUUGUGGACUUGUAUCAGAAGGCUAUUAGGGAAUGCUAGUGCCAGUGAAAGAAGUAGAGAUGUCAGGAGGCGACAGAUGUUGAUGAUCUCUUUUGGUUUUGGUCUUGGUGAAUUGGGACUUACAGGAAUGUGUUUAUUAACUUUAGCAUCUUAUUGCUGACUGUUGGUUUGUGUUUUAGUACAAACAGUUCCUAAUUUUCCAGCACUGUGAGGUGGCAGCAGAGGGGUCUAUAAAUCUGAUCUGGUACCCCUACUUUUUGUGGCAGUAUUUACUCUUUAUCCCUUACCCCCUUGUGUUUGUUCAUCAAGUGUUUAACACAACGUAAUAAAUUUUGCUUUUCAGGUAUAGAAAAUAAGAUACUGAUGUCCAGGAGUUCAUUGCCUUAGUACAACAUUCAAAAGCAUUUUUAUAAGAGCCCAAUAGCAUUUAGAGCUAGUUAGGUGUUAUUGAAAUGGUAAUAACCACAGCUCUGUGAAAUCCUUUCUGUGAGCUUUUCGUGGCAAAUGAGAUUGUAAGAUAAUAUGUGUUAAGACACUAAGUUUGUGGUAAGUUGUUAGAGCAGCAAUAGGAGACUAAUGUACUCAGUCACACUAUGCAUAUUUUAUGUACUCAGUAGUCACAUGUGGUUAGUGUUAUAUUGGACAGCUCAGAUAUAGGACAUUUUUGUCAUUAUAGAAAGUUCUAUUGGACAGCACUAGUCUAAAAAAGGUAGUUCUUAGGGCAUCUGGCUGGCUCAGUCGGUGGAGCAUGUGAUUUGUGGUCUUGGGGGUUGUUAAGUUCAAGCCCCACAUUGGGUGUAGAGAUUAGUUAAAAAUAAAAUCUUUAAAAAAUAAAAAUUAAAAAAUUAAAAAGGUAGUUCUCAAAGUGUAGUCCUUGAACUAGCAGCGUGACCUGAGAACUUUUUAGAGUUGCAGAUAUUCAUGUCUCACUCUAGACCUACAGAAUCAAAAACUGGGGGAAUGGGACUCAUCAGUCUUAUGUUCUAACUCCUUCAGGUUAGAAGUCUAAAAACAUGCUGAAGUCUAAAAACAACUUUUUUUUCUUUUCUUUCCCUUUCUUCCUUUCUUCCGCUCUUUCUCUUCCCUGCCCUGCCCUGCCCUGCCUGGCCCUGGCCCUGGCCCUGUGAGUGAACAGAGAAGGGGCAGAGAAAGAAGAGAGAGGGAGGAUUCCAAGCAGGCUCCGCACUGAUAGUGCGGAGCCUGAUGCAAAGCUUGAACCCACGAACCCUGACAUCAUGACCUGAGCCAAAACCAAAAGUUGUAUGCUUAACUGAGCUACCCAGGUGCCUCUAAGAACAACUUUAGAAAGCAAAUGAUUGCAAUGGAGGUAGCUAAAUGUAAUGAUGUAUUUAGUAUGUCAGUACAAUAAGGGAAUGAGGGUUGACUAUGUCUCCAGAAAAGGGGGUUCUCUUUUAUGGUAGCUGGGUUGGGGAGAGGAUGAGCAGACCAGGCAGGGCAAUAGAAUGAGCAAGAGAUUGUAGAGUUGAGGUUCAUGGCAUAAUUCAGGAACUGCAAGUACAGACAUUUCUGCUUUAAUGUAUGCAUUUUUGAAAAACCUUUAGUUCUGUAACUCACCAAAACAGGGUUUAUGGGAAAAAUAGGGGCAGAAUACUCAAAACCUGUCUACUCAUGUUACUAGAGCACCAACAGGAACAAUAACAAUUUUAAUUAAAAUGUUGGCAUAGUUAAGGCAAGUAAAAUUCCUAAUGAAUAUCUCAGUCAAUAUAGAUUUUUUCUCAAGAAAGAAGAAAGAUGAAAUAGGCUGAUGGAAGGAGGAAGAGGAAGAAUUGAAGCUGUUGAUUUGUGGAAACAAGAACAGAGGGACAUAAACACAGGUUGCAGGUUUGAUGUGAAUACUGUGAUGGCAGACUGGAUGGCUUUGGCUUAUUGCCUGGUAUUUGGGUUAUUUCUACCCUGACAAAGAUUGAGGAAAAUCAUGCUUACACCCUUGCAAGACAGAGCCUGUUACUGUACUGAGACAAGAGGAAGAAAGGAGAGUGAUGGGCACCUAGGGUAAGGGCAUCAGUGUAGGACUAGAUUCCUUCAAGAGUUGCUGCAUUUAGCUGCUGUUAAUGGUGCAAAACUGUAAUGAUCUGGGAAGAACCCUGUGUGAACCAGUAUAGUUUCUGCAUUACACUAACAUCAUUUCUCUAUUUCUCAAUAAUGUGUGUGCUGCCUCGCAUUAUAGAAACAUGCUUUGGUAGGGGCACCUGGGUGGCUCAGUUGGUUAAGUGUCCGACUUGAUUUCAGCUCAGAGCAUGAUCCCACGGUUCAUGAAUUUGAGCCCUGUGUCAAGCUCUGUGCUGACAGCAUGGAGCUGGAGCCUGCUUGGGUUCUCUCUCCCCACCUCUCCCCCUCCCCCUCUCCCUGUUCUCUCUCAAAAUAAAUAAAUAAAUAAAUAAAUAAAUAAAUAAAUAAGCAUUAAAAAAAAUAGAAAUAUGCUGUGGUAGUACAGAAUAUCUCAUGUGGCUGAAUAGGGUAGGUUAGAGUAGCAGUGUGAGAAAAGUAGUGAUAUUUCUGGAAAGGCCUUGUAGUUCUGUGCUAGGGAAGCUUAAUUCAAUAAUGUUGUUUUGGGUAGUUCUUAAAGGCUUUUUGACCUGGGAGUAAAACAGGUUACAAGUCAACAGAUUUUGGCUUUAGUGUGGAAAGUGGUAGAAGGAAAAAGGUGUUGGUAGUAUGGAAACUAGUUAGGAGACUUUGUAAUAAUUUAAAUGAGUAAUAAUUAUUUUUUUAUUUAAAAAAAAAAUUUUUUUUUUCAACGUUUAUUUAUUUUUUUGGGACAGAGAGAGACAGAGCAUGAACGGGGGAGGGGCAGAGAGAGAGGGAGACACAGAAUCAGAAACAGGCUCCAGGCUCUGAGCCAUCAGCCCAGAGCCCGACGCGGGGCUCGAACUCAGGGACCGAGAGAUCGUGACCUGGCUGAAGUCGGACGCUUAACCGACUGCGCCACCCAGGCGCCCCUAAAUGAGUAAUAAUUAUAUUGAAAACUGGAAUGACUGAGUGGAAAGGAGAUGUUAAAUUUGAGAGACUUAAAAAUAAAAUCACUAAGAAUUUGUGAUCACUUGAAAGUGAGUGUGGAUGUAAGGGACGAAUCAAAGAUAAUGAGAGUUUGUAGCUUGAGAAUGAGUUCAGGCAGGAGAUAAUUGUUUAUAUUUCCCAUAUCUAGGCAUCUACCCUAUUUGCUUUCUUUCAUUAUUAUGCCUUAUAUAAAUAUCCUUUUCAAUCUCACUGUCUCCAUCUUGGGUUAUUAUGUGGACUCUUAUAUAAGCUCCUUCCCAGUUUCUUUUCCUACACAUUUGUCUUUCUAGUUCAUUCCACAUGUUAAUCUUUUCUCUUUAUACCAGUGUUUCUAACUCAGAAACCUUCAGUGCUCUUGUCUUCUGAAAUUUCAAGGCCAGAUUCCUUAGUUGGACAUUUAGUAUCUUCUGUUUGACUCUAAUGAAAUUUGACAGUCUUAUCUCCCAGUCCUCUUCUGCCUGAGGUUCAUAUAUGCCUUCCUCCAAAGUUAAUGGUGUUCUCAUUUGGAAUCUACCUAUCUCCACUCUUCCUCCCACUCUUCCAUUGAUAUGCAGGUCCUUCUUCUACAAACCAGUCAUUAGCCGUAUGCAUGCUUUUAUUCUCCACGCAUCUUUGCCAACAUUUGGGAGUGGAUAGUGGCUACAAGAGGGCAUGAGUAAUACUUCUAGGGUGAUGAUAAUGAUCUGUUUCUUGAUCUGGGUGGUGGUUAGAUGGAUGUGUGUAGGUUGUCAAAAAUCAUAGGACUGUAUAGUUAUGAUUGGUGGGUUUUUUUCCUAUAUGUUAUACUUCAAUAAAAAGCUUACUUCCUUUUCUCCAAAAUAAAAAAUGUCCUGCCUCUCCUAGGCCCUUUACAUUUCAAUUUAAUUUUUAUGGUCAACUUGUUAAGUUUGAGUGGGAUUGCAUUGAGUUGGGGAGAAUUGCCAACUUUGAUAUUGAGUUUUCCUAAAUAUGAUUGAAUUAUGUUUUGCCAUUUAUUUAGAUCAGAAGCAAAUUGCCUGUUUUUGUAAAUAAAGUUUUAUUGGAACACAGUCAGACCUAUUUGUUUACAUGUCGUCUUUGGUUGCUUUUGAGCUUCAGUGGCAGGGGUAGGUGGUUGUGACAGACCAGAUGGCCUACAAGCACAAAAUAUUUACUUUCUGGCCUUGUAAGAAGAAAAGGUUUCCAUACCCCUGAUUUAGGCCUUUCUUUCUAUUUCUUUCUUUCUUUCUUUCUUUCUUUCUUUCUUUCUUUCUUUCUUUCUUUUUUUGAUAAUUUAUUUAUUUAUUUUUUGAGAGAGAGAGUACAUGGGUAGGGAGAGGGACAGAGCGAGAGGAAAGAGAAUCUUUUUUUUUUUUUUUCAAUGUUUAUUUAUUUUUGAGAGAGAGAGAGAAAGGCAGGGAGACAAGCAGACAGAGAAUCCUAAGCAGGCUCUGCGCAGGGCUCAAACCGAUGAACCAUGGGAUCAUGAACUGAGCUGAAACCUAGAGUCAGAUGCUUAGCUAACUGAGCCACCCAGGCACCAAGAAAGAGGGGAAGAGGGGGAGGGGGGAGAGAGAGAGAAUGAGAAUAUAAUUUCUGUGUACUUAAUGGUUUUGUUGUUGUAAAUAUCUUUUUUAUCAGUUAUGUUUUAAAACUCUUGCGGGGUGCCUGGGUGGCUCAGAUUCUCUCUCACUCCCUCUCUGCCCCUCUAACGCUCUCUCUCCCUCUUUCUCAAAAUAAAUAAAGUUAAAAAGGGGCGCCUGGGUGGCGCAGUCGGUUAAGCGUCCGACUUCAGCCAGGUCACGAUCUCGCGGUCCGGGAGUUCGAGCCCCGCGUCAGGCUCUGGGCUGAUGGCUCAGAGCCUGGAGCCUGUUUCCGAUUCUGUGUCUCCCUCUCUCUCUGCCCCUCUCCCGUUCAUGCUCUGUGUCUCUCUGUCCCAAAAAUAAAUAAACGUUGAAAAAAAAAAAUUAAAAAAAAAAAUAAUAAAGUUAAAAAAAAAACACCUUAAAAUUGUUUUGCUGGCAUACAGGAAAGUGUUUUUGUGUGUUUAUCUUACAUUCAGGAAUUAAAAAAAAACUCUUAUUCUAAUAAUUUGUAGAUUUUCUACAUUGGUGGCCAUAGUGUAAAUAAUGUCAGCUUUGCUUCUUUCCAGUUCUGUCUCAAUUCAUGCCUUACUCUUCUUUCAAACAGAAGCAAGCUUGACUUUAAAGGAGAUGCUUUUGUGGUGUCAUCAUCAUGUAUGAUGUUUGAGGGUUUUGUUUUGUAGUAGAAAUAUAUCCUUUAUCAGUUUAAAAAAGGUCCCUUAAAUUUUCAUAAACUCCCAAGUUUGCUAGGAGUUAAUAUUGAAUUUAUCAUAUGCUCUUCCUGAGCAGAUGUUAGGAUACACAUAUUUUGUCUCUAAUAUGAUGAAAUAUACAAAUAUUUUUUUUACUGAGAGACCAUUUGUUAGAAUGGUUUUUGAAUUAUGGUAAAAUUCAGAAGCACAGGGGUGCCUGUCUGGCUCAGGUACAGCAUGUGACUCCUCAUCUCAGGGUCAUGAGUUCAAGCCCCACAUUAGGUGUAGAGCUUACUUAAAAAAAAAAAAAAAAUCAGGAGUACAGAGAAAUCUUGUUUAUCAUGCUACAUCUCCCCAGUUUUCUCCGUUGUUAAUGUCUUAUUACAUGAUAUUAGUAUGGUACAUUUCCUGUAAUUAUGAACCAACACUGCUUUAUUUUUUUGUUUUUUGGUUUUUUUUUAAUUUUUAAAAAUUUUUUUCUUAAUGUUUUUAUUUAUUUUUGAGACAGAGAGAGACAGAGCAUGAGCAGGGAAGGGGCAGAGAGAGAGGGAGACACAGAAUCGGAAGCAGGCUCCAGGCUCUGAGCCAUCAGCACAGAGCUCGAUAUGGGGCUCGAACUCACAGACUGUGAGAUCAUGACCUGAGCCGAAGUCGGACGCUCAACUGACAGCCACGCAGGCGCCCCAUUUUUUUUUUUUUUUUAAAGAUUUUAUUGUAUUUUUAUUUUAUUUCAGAGACAGGGAGAGAGAGAGGGUUCAUGUGGGGAAAAGGGGCAGAGGGAUAGAAAGAGGAUCCCAAGCAGGCUUCACGCUCAGUGUGGAGCCCGGUGUGGGGCUCAUCCCGUGGGAUCAUAACCUGAGCCAAAAUCAAGAGUUGGGACACUUAACCGACUAAGCCACCCAGUUGCCCCAUCUUUUUUUAAGUAAUACCUGCCAGUAGUAAAAACUAAAACUGUAAAAUGAUAUGCAAUGAAGACUUUGAUCUAUUAGAUUUCUGUUUAACCAAAUCAUUAUCACCAUUCUGUAAAAAACCCAUUGACUGAUUUUCCCUCCUCCAUAUGACAGUUUAUUUAUUUUUAAAUUAAUUUAUUUUUAUUUUUUAUUUUCAUUAAAAAAAUUUUUUUAAUGUGUGUUUAUUUUUAAGAGAGAGAGACAGAGAGCGAGUCGGAGACGGGCAGAGAGAGAGGGAGACACAGAAUCUGAAGCAGGCUCCAGGCUCUGAGCUGUCAGCACAGAGCCUGACGGGGCUCAAACCCACGAGCCAUGAGAUCAUGACCUGAGCCAAAGCUGGUUGCCUAACGACUGAGCCACCCAGGCACCACUUUUAUUUUUUUUUAACAUUUAUUUAUUUUUGAGAGAGAGAGGGAGACAACACGCAUGCAUGUGAACAGGAAAGAGGCAGACGCAGAGAAGGGAGGCAGAUGAUCCAAAGCAGGCUCGUCACUGUGAGCCCAGAGCCCAAUGCAGGGCUCAGACUCCUGAACCUGUGAGAUGGCCUGAGCUGAAAUCGAGAGCUGGCUGCUUAACCGACUGACUGAGCUACCCAGGCGCCCCCAUAUGACGGUUUAUAGCUGGUGAUAAGUUACUGUUAGAAAGCCUGUGAGUUUCUGCUGUGUCACUAGUUUUGCUUUACCAAGAGUUAGUUCUGUUAUUUGACAAAUAUGAUUAUGCCAUUUGUAAUUAUUGUACAGACUAUAUUAUAACAGUUAAUCAAUUCAGCUAAUUGGAAAAAGUGUUGCAGUGGGGAAUGUGAGUAAUGAACAAAACGAUAUACUUUAGGGGUGCCUGGGUGGCUCAGUUGGUUAAGCGUCUGACUUGAUUUCUGCUCAGGUCAUGAUCUCACUGUUCAUGGUAUUGAGCCCUGAGUGAGGCUCUGUGCCAACAGCGUGGAGCCUGCUUGAGAUGUUCUCUCUCUCUCUCUCUCUCUCUCUCUCUCUCUCCCUCCCUCCCUCCCUUCCUUUCUGUCCCUGCCCCACUUUCAGACGAACACUGUUUCUCUCUCUCUAAAUAUAAAAUAAAUAAACGUCUUUAAAAAAAGAUAUAUACUUUGAUUGUGUUUAAAAGUAGUAACAUAAAUUGUAUCUCUUGUGAUAGAACCAUGACUUUUUCUUUGAGAAUGAGUCCAGUGAUCAGAGUUCUGACUUCUUUCUUUCUUUUUUUUUCUUAAGUAAGCUGUAUACCCAGCGUGGGGCUUGAACUCAUGACCUCGAGAUCAAGAGUCAAAUGCUUUACCAGCUGAGCCAGGUGCCCCCUGACUUCUUUCUUGCAUAAACCACACCUAUAAGACAUUGCUUAUGAUUUCCAUCCCUCCCUUCCUUUCUUCUUUAAUUAAAAUGGAGUAAGAAUUUAGAUACUUGUUUUUUUCUUUUUUUCCUUUUUUAAUGUUUUUAUUUAUUUUUGAAAGAGAGAGGAGAGAGAGAGAGAGAGAGAGAGAGAGAAAGAGAAAGAGAAAGAGAAAGAGGAAGAGAAAGGGAAAGACAGAGCACGAGCUGGGUAGGGGCAGAGAGAGAGGGAGACACAGAAUCUGAAGCAGGCUCCAGGCCCUGAGCUGUCAGCACAGAGCCUGAUGCAGGGCUCAAACUCGUGAAUUGUGAGAUCAUGACCUGGGCUGAAGUCUGAUGCUCAACCUACUGAGCCACCCAGGCGCCCCUAGAUACUUGUUAAUCAGUGUGAGUACAGACUAGGUUUUCUCUUCCAUUAUUUUGGAUUAUCUCACCUUCACUUGAUUUGACAAGCAAUCGUGUGUGUAUCUUUCUGCUCACCUAUGAAUCUUUUCAAAGCAUUCAGCUUAGUUUUUAGUGGAAAAGAACUUCCUUUGGCAAUAUAAUCUUUCAUAAUACUAUUACUUAGAAAAAUAAGGAAACCUGCAUAAUUGGAUUUGGUAGUAAAUGUGAUCUGGCUAUCGAUAAGCCUAUAUCUCAGUUGGUGGGAGCAGAAAUAUACAGGUGCAGGUAUUCUUAAUGACUGUCCGUAUCCACAGUGGCCAUAGUUCAUUGACCACAGGCAUCAUUCAUCAGACUUUACUGGCAGAAUGGAAAAUGUCAGAUAAGUCAGGUUUUUUUUCUUUCUUUCUUUCUUUCUUUCUUUCUUUCUUUCUUUAAGCUGUUUUGAUACUUCUGUUGCUUUUUUCUUGCUACAGAUAGCACUACAUUGAAUUUUCCUGUAUAUAUAUUUUGUAACCAUGUGCUCGUAUAUCUCUCAGAAUGAGUUACUAGAUAUGAUUUGUUGGGUCAAAGAUUAUGUGCAUAUAAAAACUUGAUAGCUAUGGUCAAAUUGCCUCCAUGGAGUUUGUGCAAGUAUAUACUUGGGUGAUGUAUGAGAGUAUGUCUUUUGUCACAUCUUUACAAACCCUAGUAUGGUAUCAAAUUCUUUACUAUUUACCUGUCUUACUCUCUUAUUGGUGAAAACACGUAUGUCUGGAGUUCCCCAGACUGCUCCCAGGUUUGAUGAUUUGCUAAGAGGACUCACAGAACUCAUGUAGUUGUACUUAUUUAGUAUGAUAUUGGCUUAUUUUUGUAUAAAAAUUAAUUUGUAUUUUGGUCUAUUUUAUAAAAUUAGUAUCAUUUACUUUGUGACAUGGUUUAGCCAUAAUAAGUAAGCUUAAGCUUUUGGAAAACAGUAAGCACUUUUUUUUAAAAAAUUUUUUUUUUCAACGUUUAUUUAUUUUUGGGACAGAGAGAGACAGAGCAUGAACGGGGGAGGGGCAGAGAGAGAGGUAGACACAGAAUCAGAAACAGGCUCCAGGCUCUGAGCCAUCAGCCCAGAGCCUGACGCGGGGCUCGAACUCCCGGACCGCGAGAUCGUGACCUGGCUGAAGUCGGACGUUUAACCGACUGCGCCACCCAGGCGCCCCAGUAGGCACUUUUUUUGAAGUGAUGGUAGAGAGUGAACUUAUUCAUUGUGUCCAAAUUUAAAAAUUGCUGUUUUUAAAAACGAUUUUUUUAAAUGUUUAUUUUUGAGAGAGAAAGAGAGGGAGACACAGUGCAAGCAAGGCAGGGGCAGAGAGAGAGGGAGACACAGAAUCUGAAGCAGGAUCCAGGCUCCGAGUUGUCAGCACCGAGCCUGAUGUGGGGCUUGAACUCGUGAACUGCAAGAUCACGGCCUGGGCCGAAGUAGGACACUUAACCGACUGAGCCACCCAGGUGCCCCUAAAAAUUGCUUUAUAACUGAAAGCUAGGUUUAUUCUCUGAAUUGUGAGGUUGAUUUUAACAAUGGAAAAAUCUUUAUAUUUCAUCCUUUAGAUGGCGACUGUCAAAAGGAAAUAGGAUCAUGGCAGCAGAUGAUGACAAUGGUGAUGGAACAAGUUUAUUUGAUGUCUUUUCUGGUAAGACCUGUCUUUCUGAACUGUCUUUCUAAGUGUAUUUAAUUGCAAAAUCAUUUAUUCUCAUUGAAAACACUAUCAACUCUUUCUUCCCACACAUAAAUGAAUUAACGUAGUAAGGUGCCUGGCAAAUAGGAAAUGUUUAGUAAAUGUGAGCUUUCUUAUUAUUACAGGGCUUUUAAGCCUCUCAAAUAUAAUGAAAUUAACAACUUUGUCAAUAUGAGUGGUAAUGAUAUUUAUUUUUCUAUCCAAAGAAAUAUAAAAUAGGUAUUUGUUACUCUUGAGUAAGUUGAAUACAUUAUGGUCCUUUACUCCCAAAUACUUAAGUGUGUAUUUCAUAAGAAAAACUUGGGUUUUUUAAUAUAAGAACAGCACAGGGGCGCCUGGGUGGCGCAGUCGGUUAAGCGUCCGACUUCAGCCAGGUCACGAUCUCGCGGUCCGUGAGUUCGAGCCCCGCGUCAGGCUCUGGGCUGAUGGCUCGGAGCCUGGAGCCUGUUUCCGAUGCUGUGUCUCCCUCUAUCUCUGCCCCUCCCCCGUUCAUGCUCUGUCUCUCUCUGUCCCAAAAAUAAAUAAACGUUGAAAAAAAAAAAAAUAAGAACAGCACAAUUAUCAAAAUUUCAGUAAAUUUAACAUUGAUAUAAUACUUUUAUUUAAUCUGCUAUUUUUGUUCCUGUUUUACCAGGUAACCCCAACAUUUUCUUUAUUAUUAUGAUUGGAUUUUAAUCUAUCAUUUUAAUACUUUUAGUUUUUCUCAUCUUUUUUUUUUCCUUCUGAUUUUCUUACCUUCUUUCAAAUGUUGAAUAUAUUUUAGAAUUUCAUUCUAAUUUAUAUAUUAGCUUUUUGGGCUACAACACCUCUUUGCAUUAUUUUUUAGUGGCUGCUUAAGGGAUUGGAGUAUACCUCUUUAACAUUUUGUAGUCUACUUCCUAGUAUUGUACUUUUUCACCUAAGAUGUAGAAUCUUGUAUGUAUAGUUUUAUUUAACCUUCAUCCAUCCUUUUAUGUUAAAGAUGUCAUAAACCUCAUGAUACAGAGCUUCAAUUUUUACUUUAUAUCAUUCUACGUAUCUUUAAAAACUUAAGAGGAAUUAAAAGAAAUUAAGAAAAAUUUAUUAUUUAUAUUUACUCUGUUAUUUAUCGUUUCUAGUCCUAGUAUCCUCUAAUAGCUUUUCAGUAUCAUUUUCCUCCCCAUUCUCUCUUUUCCUCUUGGACUGCAGAUAUACAGUAUGUGAGAACUUUUGAUAUUACUAAGGUUACUAAGACAUUUGUUGUUGUUUAUUUGUUUUAAAUCUUUUUCUCUCUAUUCUUCAGAUUGGGUAAUUUUUAUUGAUUUACCUUCAAGUUCACUGGCUCUACUGUUAAGCACCUUCAGUGAAAAUUUUUUUCUUUUUUUUUUUGCAUUUGAUAUUGCACUUUUCAGUUUUAGGAUUUUCAUUCUUUGCUUGUUUGUUUUAGUUUGUUAUUUUUUAUUUAUUUAAUUUUAGUAAUCUCUGCAUCCAUUGUGGGGCCCAAACUCAUGACCCCAAAAUCAAGAGUUGCACUCCACCAACUGAGGCUGCCAGGCAUCCCUCAUUCUUUGUUUUAAUGGUUUCUGUUUCUCUGCCAAGAUUUCCUAUGUAGUAAUUUUGGACUGCAUUCUGGAUGCUCAAUUCUGUUAUGUUCUAGAGACACUGGAUUAUGCUAUAUUGUUUUUACUUUUAGCAAGUAUUUAACUUGGCUGAACUUAAACUUCUGUCUUACCUGUAGUGGAUAGCAGCUGAGAAUCUGUUCAGAUAUUUUAGCUUUAACUGUACAUUUUGGAGUUCUCACCUUUACUUACAUAGUUUGGAGGUCACUUGGAGAUUUGGGCACAAAUUGGGAAUAUUCUUUCUGGAUUUUCUUUCUUAGUUUCUAGUUGCUGUUAUCAUUCCCCAUUUUUUUUCUGUCAUUAUUCAAGCUUUUAGGACCAGAGGUUUCCAUCUAAGCUUUCACUGUUCAUUGUGGCUCCAACUAGGGCUUAUCCUUCUACAAAAAAUUUUAAUAAAGGGGGAUAGGGAAUGCAUACAAGACUGUUUUCUCCUUUCAGGUGUUGUCUCCCAUUCAGUUUUUGCCCUCUUUGGAUUGUUUUUAGAUUUUCAGAUUGCCUUUUUUUUUCUUAUUUAAUUGAGUUAUAAUUAUACUUAUAACAUCCUAUUAGUUUCAGGAAUACAACAUAAUGAUUCAGUAUUUGUAUAUAAUGUGAAAUGAUCACCACAAUGAUAGUCUAGUGGCAGAGCAUUUGACUACAGAUAGCUUUUAAUAAUUUGCUUAGAGUUUAUAGUUGUUAUCAGCAGGAGGAUUGGUCUGAUAGAACCACUCUGCAAUUAUUGGAAUUGGAACCUUCUCACAAGUUUGUUUUUGAAAGUGAGUUUUUAAGUCUAAAUCUUAUGUAAUAGAGUCAUAAAUCUGUGUAUUGAGAUCUUUCUAUUUAUAAGGAUGUUUAAAAAUUGUAAACAAUUGUGUUUUUUGGUAUAAGUCUAAUAAAGUCUCUGUCUUUUCCUGGAUUAGAAAAACUUCACUAACUGCAUAAAGUCAGUUUUAAUUAUCUUUGAUUUUCCUGCAGCUUCUCCUCUUAAAAAUAAUGAUGAAGGUUCUUUGGACAUAUAUGCUGGGUUGGACAGUGCUGUUUCUGGUAUGUAAAUUCUAAAAUAAAAGUUUCAUUUUCUUUGGUCAGUGUAUUGGAAGUAUUUAUUUUGUUGUUGCCAAUUCUUGGAGUAAUACAUAGUUCCUGAACAAUUUGCCCAUUCUUUGAAAUGGUUAUACUUAGGUAAUUAUUUUUUUGACCAAAGUUUGAUCACUAAAACAAAUUAGCACUCAGUUUUGCUAUUCAUCUAGGUCUUAGAUUUAACUGGACCUAGAGCAGGUAUAUUUUGUACAUUGAAAUGCAGCUGCUGGUGGGGUCUAUACAUAUAUUACUGCUCAUACUGUCAUGGCUUACAUAUUAGAACUUUUGAAAAGGGUAGUUACUAUAAAUGUUUUCAAAUGUAUCAGUAAGAGGUGCCUGGGUGACUCAGUUGGUUGGACAUCCAACUUUGGUUCAGGUCAUGAUCUCGUGGCUUGUGAGUUCAAGCCCUGCAUUGUGAGUUCGAGGCCCUGUCAGGCCUCUAUGCUGACAGGUCAGAGCCUGGAGCCUGUUUCAGAUUCUGAUCUCCCUCUCUCUCUCUGCCCUUCCCCCAUUUGUGCUUGCUUGCUUCCUGGCUCUCUCUCUCUCUCUCUCUCUCUCUCUCUUUGUCUCGCUCUCUCUCUCAAAAAUAAACAUUAAACAAACAAACCAACAAACAAAACAAAUGUAUCAGUAAGAGUGGUAUGGAGAGAGUCUAAUGACCUAUCCAAAUUAGAAACCUUUCCAUAAUCAAAUCUCUCAAAGCUUUGAACAAAUAUGGUCCUCACAUCUGAUUUGUUGUCAUAAGUAUUUUAGGUAAAUUGGCUUUCCAACCAAUCAGUAUAGAUUUGGAUGAAAUGCAGGAGAUGCAGAAAUAUAUAGCCCUUUGAUUUGCAGUAGACACAACAUCAAAAAGCUUGACACAUAUUUUCUAUUUUCCCCACCUUUAUUGAGAUAUAGUUAACACGUAACAUUGUGUAAGUUUAAGUAUUGAUUUGAUACACUUAUAUGUUGCAAAAUGAUUACCACUUUAGCCUUAGCUAAAUUAUGUGACAUAAUUACCUGCAUCAAUUAUGUGAUAUAAUUAGCCUGCAUCAAUUAUGUGACAUAAUUACCAUCUCUCUUUUGUGGUGAGAACAUUUAAGAUCUAUUCUCUUAGCAACUUUUAAGUAUGUAAUACACACAGUAUGAUUAACUAUCAUCACUCUGCUCUGUUUUAGAUCCCUAAACCUUAUUUAUCUUAUAGCUAGAAGUUUAUAUUCUGGUUUUUUAAAGUUUAUUUAUUUAUUUAUUUAUUUAAAAAAUUUUUUUUAACGUUUAUUUAUUUUUGAGACAGAGAGAGACAGAGCAUGAACGGGGGAGGGUCAGAGAGAGAGGGAGACAGAGAAUCUGAAACAGGCUCCAGGCUCUGAGCGGUCAGCACAGAGCCCGACGCGGGGCUCGAACCCACGGACCGUGAGAUCGUGACCUGAGCUGAAGUCGGCCGCUUAACCGACUGAGCCACCCAAGCGCCCCUAUUUAUUUAUUUAUUUAGAGAGAGAGCACAAGCGAGCAUGAGCAGGGGAGGGGCAGAGAGAGAGGGAGAGAGAGAAUCCCAAGUAGGCUCUUCCCUGUCAAUACUGAGCCUGAUGUGGGGCUAGAACUCACAAACCAUGAGAUCAUGACCUGAGCUGAAAUCAAGAGUGCUCAACCAACUGAGCCACCCAAGGGCCCCUGGAAGUUCAUACUCUUUGAUCAAUAUCUCUUCUGUCACCCCAGCCCCUGGUAAGCACUGUUCUAGUCUGUUUCUAUGUAUUUGGCAUUUUUAUAUUUCACAUACAAGUUGGUGUCAUGUGCUAUUUGUCUUUCUCUUUCUGACUUAUUUCAAUUAGCAUAAUGCCUGCAAGGUCUGUCCAUGUUAGUGCAAAUGGCAGGAGGUCCUUCUUUCUCAUGGUUGAAUAAUAUCCCAUUGUAUACAUAUGCCACAUCUCUUUUAACCAUCUGUUAAUGAACACUUAGGUUGUUUCCAUAUGUUGGCUAUUAUGAAUAAUGCUGCAGUGAACAUGGGUGUGCAGAUAUCUCUUUGAGAUCCCAGUUUGUUUUUUUUUUAAGUUUUUAUUUAUUUAUUUUGAGAGAGAGAAAGAGAAGAAAAGAGAGAAAUUGAUUGGGGAAGGGGCAGAGAGAGGGGGGACAGAGGAUCUGAAGUGGGCUCUGCACUGACAGCAAAAACCCUAUACGGGGCUCAAACCCAUGAACUGUGAGAUCAUAUUUAUGACUCUAUUACAUAUUAGUUUCAGGCAUACAACAUAAUUAUUCAGUAUUUGUAUAUAAUGUGAAAUGAUCACCAUAGUAAUAGUCUAGUGGUAGAGCAUUUGGUUACAGAUAGCUUUCUGUACACUGCAGAGAGCCUGAUGCAGGGCUUGAACCCAUGAACCACUUCCACUUGAGCCGAAGUUAGGCGCUUAACCAAUUGAGCCACCCAGGUGCCCUAAGAUCCUCUUUUUAUAUCCUUUGGAUUAAUACCCAGAGGUGGGAUUACUGAAUCAUAUUUCUAUUUUUAAGUUUUUGAGGAACCUCCAUAGUGUUUUCCAUUGUAGCUGCACUGGUUUACAUUCCCACCAAUCUUGCACAAGUAUUCUAUUUUCUCCACAUCCUUGCCAACACUUGUUAUCUCAUGGUUGUUUUUUGGUUUUUGUUUUUUUUUAAUUGGGGAGGUCUCUGAUAACAGCAGUCUUUACUGAACAUUUACUUACUAAGUGUGGCAAGUGUUUGGUGCUUUUUAUUUUUUACUUAUUUAUUUUAUUGAAGUAUAGUUGACAUACAGUGCUAUAUUAGUUUCAAGUGUACAAAAUAGUGAUUUGACAAUUCUGUACCUAAUGCAGUGUUCGUCAUGGUAAGUGUAGUUACUAUUUGUCACCAUACAAAGUUAUUACAAUAUUAUUGAUUAUAUUCCCUAUUCUAUAGCUUUUAUCUCCUCUUUUUGGCGAUAGCCAUUCUAGCAGGUAUAAGGUGUUAUCUCAUUGUGAUUUUGAUUUGCAUUUCCCUAACAGUUAGUCAGGUUGAGCACUUUUCCAUGUUCCUGUUGGCCAUUUGUAUGUCUUUGGGAAAAUGUCUAUUCAGUUUCUCUGCCCAUUUUUCUGUCAGAUUUUUUUUUCUUUUGCUGUUGAGUGUAUGAGUUCUUUAUAUAUUUUGGAUAUUAACCCUAUGUCAGAUACUUAAUUUGCAAAUAUUUUCUCCCAUUCUGUGGGUUGCCUUUCACUUUGUUGAUGGUUUUCUCUCCUGUGCUGCAGCUUUGUAAUUUGAUGUAGUCCUACUUGUUAUUUUUGCUAUUGUUUCCCUUGUUUUUGGUGUCAAAGCCAGAAAAUCUUUGCCAAGACUGAUGUCUAGGAGCUUACCCCCUUCCUUUUUUUUUUCCCUAAGACUUUUUGGGUCUCACAUUUAAAUCCCAUUUGGAAUGCAAGCUGGUGCAGCCACUCUGGAAAACAGUAUGGAGGUUCCACAAAAAACUAAAAAUAGAACUACCUUACGGGCCAGCAAUUGUACUACUAGGCAUUUAUCCACGGGGUACAGGUGUGCUGUUUCGAUGGGACACAUGCACCCUCAUGUUUAUAGCAGCACUAUCAACAAUAGCCAAAGUAUGGAAAGAGCCCAAGUGUCCAUUGAUGGAUGAAUGGAUAAAGAAUAUGUGGUAUAUAUAUACAAUGGAGUAUUACUUGGCAAUCAAAAAGAAUUUGCAACUACGUGGGUGGAAAUGGAGGGUAUUAUGCUAAGUGAAAUUAGUCAGAGAAAGACACAAAUCAUAUGACUUCAUUCAUAUGAGGACUUUAAGAAACAAAACAGAUGAACCUAAGGGAAGGGAAACAAAAAUAAUAUAAAAACAGGGAGGGGGACAAAACAGAAGAGACUCAUAAAUAUGGAGAACAAACUGAGGGUUACUGGAGGGGUUGUGGAGGGAGGAUGGGCUAAAUGGGUAAGGGGCACUAAGGAAUCUACUCCUGAAAUCGUUGAUGAUAUAUCCUAACUAAUUUGGUUGUAAAUUUAAAAAAAUUAAAAAAAAAAACAUUUGGAGUUGAUUUUUGUGCAUGGAGUAAGAUAGGGGUCCAGUUUUCUCAAUACCAUUUAUGGAAAGAGCUUAUCUAUUCCUCAUUGUAUAUUCUUUGCUUGUCUGUCAUACAUAAAUUUACUGUAUUUAUUUCUGGGUUCUGUAUUCUGCUCCAUUGAUCUGUAUAUCUGUUUUUAUGCCAAUAGCAUACAGUUUUGAUUACUAUAGCUUUGUAUUAUAAUUAGAGAUCAGGAAAUGUGAUGCCUACAGCUUUGGUCUUCUUUUUCAAGAUAGCUUUUUUUUUUUUAAUUUAAAAAAAAAAAUUUUUUUUUUAAGUGUUUAUUUUUGAGACAGAGAGAGACAGAGCAUGAACGGGGGAGGGUCAGAGAGAGAGGGAGACACAGAAUCUGAAACAGGCUCCAGGCUCUGAGCGGUCAGCACAGAGCCUGACACGGGGCUCGAACCCACAAACCGCGAGAUCAUGACCUGAGCCGAAGUCGGACGCUUAACCGACUGAGCCACCCAGGCGCCCCAAGAUAGCUUUUUUAUUUGCAGUCUUGUCAUUUCAUACGAAUUUUAGGAUUGUUAUUUCUAUUUCUGUGAAAAAUGACAUUGGAAUUCUGAUAGGGAUUGCAUUGAAUCUCAAAGUACAUGUUUUAAUUUAAGGGCUUUUUGUAUGUUUGUUUUAGACAGUGCUUCCAAAUCCUGUGUACCAUCCAGAAAUUGUUUGGAUUUAUAUGAAGAAAUCCUGACUGAAGAAGGAACUGCAAAGGAGGCAACAUAUAAUGAUGUAUGGGUUGCCAGAAUUAAGGACAGAGUUAUUUUAACCUUUUGUAGCUUCUGAAGUGCAGACAUCAGCUUUUUAUUAAACAUUCUGUGUUGAAGAAAUAGCUCUUAGUCUAAAAGAAUAUUUAAGUUUCUGUCUUCAGAUCUGCUUUUUAAAAUCUUUUCUGAAUGUCUAAAUUUAGUUAUAAUUUGCUUGAUUAAAUUUAAGCGAAUAUAUAAAACUUCAACAGGCAGUCAGUAUGAUAAAACAUUUUAUCUUUUCAUGAUUUGUACUAAGUUAUAAAAUGUCCCAAGACUUAAUUCAGAUGAAUUUCUUUCUACGUUAUUUGAAUUUUAAGGUCUGGAGAUUGAAUGUGAAACUUAACAAGAUGUGUUUUGGUUGAGACAAUGUUAAAAACUAGUAGUUUUACUAAAUAUCUGUUAGUAGAAAUAGACCUUGUCUAUCCUUCGUAGGGGGUUGAUUUUCUAAAUUUUAAAAUAUUCUGAAGUGUCAUAUAAGCUAAGAAAAUAAUUUAGGAUGAUGCUUAAUCUUUUUAUAUCUUACAGUUGCAAGUAGAAUAUGGUAAAUGUCAGCUGCAAAUGAAAGAGCUGAUGAAAAAGUUUAAGGAAAUACAGACACAGGUAGGAUUAUAAUGAGUAUUUUUGCCUCUCUGUUUUCUUGUACUGCUCCAGUCAUUGAAGGGAAGUUUUAUUGAGGCCCUAGGGCCUUUUGUGUUAUUUUAAAAUCAAAAUGUAAUAAUUUUUUUUGUUAGAAAUUAAAAUGCUUAAGUGUUGGCGGUUUAUAAGGAAAUUCUUCUUUUUAGUGUUAAAUGAUAUAGCAAAUAUGCAAAAACAUGCAUUAUUUUCUGUGUCACUGAAAAUGAUAUUGGAAAACUGAUUUGUUAAAUGGCACUGGCAUAAAAAUCUGUUACACUAGUUAACAAAUAAUAGAACAUUAAUGGAGAUGAUACCAGGUAUUUUUUUGUUUUUUGUUUUUUUGUUAAUUUAUUUUGAGAGAGAGAACACAAGUUGGGAGGGGCAGAGAGAGAGGGAGGGAAAGAGAGGGAGAAUUCUAAGCAGGCCCUGUUCUAUCAGCGUGGAGCCCAAUAUGGGGUUUGAAGCCAUGAACUGUGAGAUCAUGGCAUGAGCCGAAAUCAAGAGUUGGACACUUUGAGUGACUGAGCCACCCAGGAGCCCCGAUACCAGGUGUUUUAAAAGGGAAUGGUUUGAGGAGCAAAGAUUUAGAAUGGCUGUCGGGGGAAGGUGGUGAUACCUUCAUAUUUUUGCAAGAGUGACUUUUUUGGUGAGCAUGCUGCAGAAUACAGGAAUGUCAUGUCUUGUUUUGAUAUUUAUUUAUUUAUUUAUUUAUUUAUUUAUUUAUUUUUUGGUAAAGUUGUUUCUCUUCGUUUCCCUUUCCCCCCAAAUAACUAGCCAAUCCUAAAUUCAUUCUUUGUUCAUUUGAGAAUUAGUACAUUGUUGUAAGUUAAACGUGAAUUGUUAAAUAUAAUAAAGCCUUAUCGUUUUUAUCUUCAGUUUUCAAGGUAAUAACCCAGGCAGAACUUUUUUCUUGUUAUUGUCUUUUCAUUUUGAACCUGGCUUUUUUUUUUUUUUAAUGUUUAUUUAUUUUGAGAGAGAGAGUAUGUGCACGCAGGUGUGUAUGGGAGGGGCAGAGAGAGAGGGGGAGAGAGAAUCCCAAGCAGGUUCCAUGCUCAGUGCAGUGUCUUAUCUCAUGACUGCGAGAUCACAACCUGAGCCAAUAUCAAGACUUGGGUGCUUAACUGACAGCCACCCAGGUGCCCCUUGAUCCAUGUGUUUUUUUUUUUUUUUUUUUCAACGUUUAUUUAUUUUUGGGACAGAGAGAGACAGAGCAUGAACGGGGGAGGGGCAGAGAGAGAGGGAGACACAGAAUCGGAAACUGGCUCCAGGCUCUGAGCCAUCAGCCCAGAGCCCGACGCGGGGCUCGAACUCACGGACCGCGAGAUCGUGACCUGGCUGAAGUCGGACGCUUAACCGACUGCGCCACCCAGGCGCCCCUGAUCCAUGUUUUAAGUAGUUUCACUUGAAAUGGCCUUUGUUUGGUGUCUGUUAUCUUUGAAUCUCAGCUGUAUAAUGAACAUAAUAGUACUUCUUUCUCGUAGGACUUUUUUUGGAAUCACACAAGAUAAAAAAAGUGAUGCCUGGCUUGCAGUUAGAGCAUUCAGUAAACAUUAGCUGUAUUAUAUAAGUAAAAGUUUAAUAAUCCUGUAGACCUAUACUUUAUUUAUAUAUACUUUAAAUAUAUUUUAUGAUGUUUAGAAUUUCAGCUUAAAAAAUGAAAACCAGUCUCUUAAGAAGAAUAUUUCAGCACUUAUCAAAACUGCUAGAGUGGAAAUAAAUCGCAAGGAUGAAGAAAUAAAUAAUCUUCACCAAAGGUAUAAUUGAGGGGUGUGGAUCUGUUUAUGAAUUACAUGGCUGUUGAUAUGUGGAAUAUUUUAAACUUUUGAGUGGAAAGAUGAAAAUCAUGCAUUUUAUUAAGUCUUUAAGGUUUUACUAUGACUAAUAUUCUCUCUCUUUUUAAAAUUUUGGUUGGGGGCAGUAUUUUCCAGAGAAUUUCAUGUUUCCUUCCCUUGCAUAGUCAAACCCCCAAAGCAGUUAUCUAAACUUGCUGUCUUCAUUUUAUGUUUCUACUCACUCUUGACCCCCUUUCACUCUGACUUCUGCCUCCAUUGGUACACCCAAAGAGCUGUCAUUUUGCUCAACAGUGACUGCCUCUAAGUCUAUCAAAUAGUUUUGAUUUCUCAUUUUAACUACCCUCACACAUUAUAUGACAUAAUUGACCUUUUCUUGAAAAUAGUCUCUUGAUUUGGCUUUCAUGAUUCUUAAUUUUCUUCCUAACUUGAGGUUUAUUCUUCUGUACUUGACUAGGUUGGAAUUCUUAAAACUCAGACCUGUGUCUUUUCCUUUCUCUGUCAGUAUAUUCAUUUGAAGUAAUCUCACUCCUACUACAUCAGUUCCAUUUAUAUAGAAGUAACUACUUCACAUCUAUACAGAAUUUUCAAAAUUACCUCAUUCAAAAUGGAAUUUAUGAUCAAACCUCUUCAGUUGUUUCUUACUCAGUGGGUUCUCCAUCAUUUAUUCAGCUGGUGUAAACCAGAGACCUAGGGGUAGACUGGCCAUUUAAUUUAUCGCCCACACCAGGACCCUUUUGAGAGUAGAAGGGCAUGCUAUUAAUAAUUUCACUGAGAUUACUUGGCAAACUGGGACACAUAGUCACCGUGCCUAGAAGCCGUCAUUGACUCUUACCUCUCUAAUCAUCCCUCAGACCUAAUUCGUUACCAUGUUCUGCUGAUUUUUAUGUCUUUAUAAUCUCUCAAAUUAUUCAUUUCUCAAUUCAUUUCAUCAUUGUUACCUAUCAACUCUCAUCUGGCAGUAGUCUUUGUGCUGGUAUUUCUGCAUCCAUUCUUACUCUUUUCCACCUCUGGUUCAUCUCUUCUCAGUGUAAAAGCCCCACACAGGACACUUUUUAAACCACACUGAACAUCUCACUAUCAUAGAAUUACUCCAUCCUACCCUCUUUCUUAAUUAAAAUACAUCAAUGGAUUCUCAUUGUUCUUAGGAUAAAAGAUCAUAAAUCUGAACGUGGCCCACAAGACUCUUCCCGAUAUGGUUCUAAACUACUUUUCAGGUCUUGCCUUUAGCGUUUACCUUUGCCCUAGGCAUCAUAGCUCUGGAAUUUCUGCAUUCUUUUGGUUCCUCUGAUGUACCAUGAGCUCUGCCUUUGCCACCUGUUUCCCAUCCUCUACUUGCUAAAAACCAACCUAUCCUCAGGUCUUUUUCACAGGGGUAUUAGUCUGUUAUUCCUCUUACACUUAGAAUUUUUAAAGUCAUUAAUGGGGUUACUUGUUUAGUAUCUUUCUCUUUCUAAUCUCCCUGUUAUCUCUGUUAAGAGCUCUAUGGGUUAGAAUUAUCUUUUAGUAUCUAUCUUUUCACUAAACUGUAAGCUUCAUGGGAGCAGUGACCAUGUCUGUGUAUCUUCACCAUUUUAUCAAGCACUUAGCUCAGAGUUUGGCGCAUGGCAGAUGGUCAAUAAAUGAUUGACAGGUGAAUGAAGGUAAUUUUAUAUGUAGACUGUGUGAUACUGUAAAGCACUUCAGGCCUUUUGGAAAUGAAGAUGGCUGUGUGUUUACUAAACUAAAUCGCACCAGUGCAGCUAGUAUGAUUGCUUCCUGAAAUGUUGGGGAAAUUUUAUACAUAUUUAAAUCUUUUAGCGGAUAGUUGUGAUGUUUUAACAGGGUGGAGAGAGAAGCUGGGUGAAUAAAUGAUGAGACUUAUGUCAUUAGAUUGAUUCAUGUGGUUAUACCUUAUCUAAUAAACAUUCUGCCAGUUAUUUUCACUUUUUAAUUGUGACCUGUAUCUGGUAUUCUACUGGUGUUUAUCAUUUGGCUGAAACCUCACGUUUAAUAGAAAACAUAUAAAUAAUGUAAGGUGAAAAUUUAAGAGUAUAAAUUCUGGAAAGUGUGUAAUGUAAAGUUUUGUUUUAAAUAAAACUUUUUUUUUUUAAGUUUAUUUAUUUAACUAAUCUGUACACCCAAUGUGGGGCUCAAACUCAUGACCCCAAGAUCAAGAGUCACAUUCUCUUCCAACUGAGCGAGCCAGGCUCCCCCUAAAACUUUUGAUAGUAUUUUAUCUAUCUAGUGUGCACAUGCUGGGGAGGGGCAGAGAGGGAGAGAGAAAAUCCUAAGCAGGCUCUGUGCUGUCAGUGCAGAGCCCGUUGUGGGGCUCGAUCCCACGAACCGUGAGAUCAUGAUCUGAGCUGAUAUAAAGAGCUAGAUGUUUGACUGGGCCACUGAGGCACCCCCAAAUUUCCCUUUUUUAUAGGGAUACUAGUUAUAGUGGAUUAGGGCUCACCCUAGUGACCUCUCUUUAACUUGAUUCCCCUCUGUAAAGACCCUCUCCUCAAAGUCACAUUGUAAGAUACUGGGAGUUAGGACUUGAACAUAUGAAUUUUGGGGAGAACAUAACUUAACCCAUUAUAAGAUCCAUGUAAGAUCUGUAUAUUGUUCUAGAUUGUAUAUUUCCCAUAUCCUCUUUUGUUUAAUUAAAAUCUCCCCUUAUUCUCCUGAGUCUUUUAAAUUUUGGUGUUCUCUGUACAUUUAGUACUGAUUAGGAUUAGAUUUAUGGAGAUUUAGAGAAGUUAUGGAAGUUCAGGAAAAUGGACUGAGAACUAAAAUGAGCUAUUUGCAUAUUAUUGUUAGGAAAACUGCCAGUUUUCUGAAACACUAAUAUAAAACCCUAAGACUUAGACUUUUUUUGGUUAAAUAAUAAAUACUCGCCAUUUCCCUAAGAAAGAAUCACAACUCUAUAUUUCUCUUUAUUUUUGCAUAGUAUGUGGCACUUUAAGAUGGCUAGUGAUGCUUUGGUUUUCUGUGGGAUUGUAUGUGAAACAGAAAACCAGGGUAGAGAGCUACGCAGAACUCUGAUGAUUGUGUUGUCUGGCAACAUUUUACUUUUCCUUCUGUUUCAGUUGCACUAGAGUGAGUGAGGGCAAGAAAAUAAUGUUAUUUGUUCUAAAAGAAAUGAAUCUGUGGUUAGUUUGGCAGUUAUCCACCUGUGGUGAGGGAAGUCUGGAAGACCUUGGUAAGGCCUGGGAUAGAACAGAAUGGUCCUCUAGUCUUUGUUGAACAAAGCAAAUGAAAGGGAGUUCCUUGUUUUGAAAACAGGCCCAUUUUGUUGGAAGCUGGUAAGCAUCACUCACAUCUUUAUAUGAAGUAAAACAGUUUUGCCAGUGUGGGGACCCCUGAAUUUUAAAAUGUUUUGCAUGUGAUUAAAAUCUGGAUCAUUUAAAGCAAUUAACUUUGUUUUUUGUUGUGAAUUUCUAUCUCUCAACAGACUGUCUGAGUUCUCACAUUUUCGAAAUAAUCACAAAACUCUAAGGACACCAGAUAUAGUUAAAACAAAAGAUCUUAAAUCCAGAUCUCCCCAUUUGGAUGAUUGUGCAAAGACUGAUAUCAGAGUGAAAAGUGAUGUUUCUAAAGAUGUACAUCAUAGCACUUCACUGCCAAAUCCCGAAAAGGAAGGAAAAUCACAUUGUGAAAAAAAGAGCACUUUGUAUUUGUCUCCAUUUACUGAAAAACACUGCAACAAUGGCAUUUGGUCACGUUCCCAUUAUCAGGUUGGUGAGAGUAUCUCAAAUGAGGAUAAUAGAAGAGGGAGAAAAGAUAUUAGACAUAGCCAAUAUAGCAGAGGAACGGAUAGAAUACGGAAAGACUUAAAUUCUAGUUGUGGUGAUAGUGAAUCAAGGAACACAGAGGCUAGUCAAAGGCUACAAGGACGUCCUGAGAAAUAUGGUAAAGGUGAACCAAAGGCUGAAAGUAAAAAUUCAAAGUUUAAAAGUAAUACAGAUAUGGAUUAUAAAAAUGAACGCGUUAACUCUUGGGAAAAAGAGACCUUUAGAGAAAGGUCAUAUACUCGAGUAGAAUCGCAAAGUGACAAAAAACUAGAAAGGCAAAGUGAAAGAUCACAAACUAUAAAUAGAAAAGAACUUAAGUCGCAAG
rnacentral:lncRNA from 1 species